CUGUUGAAACACGCGACCAGCUCGGCAACCUACAACGGCAUCGGCACAAAGAGGACAUCGAGAAUUUGGAAGCGCAAUGCCCAGCACUAGGUUUCUCCAUGUCUCGCUUCAGAGUUCGGGCUUGAAGGUUUAGCAAGUGACUACAAUCUGGGAACCUGGAGGAAGCCGUUGAGCAACUGACCAAGGGGUGAUCCUAGUGAACCUGAAAAACCAUAUAUGGUAAAAAGAGGUCAGUCACAAUAGCAGCAAUGCUUGGAGAGCUUCCUGAGUUCAAAAUGUCGCGACUCUUUGUAUUUGGAGCUGUCCUCCUGAGGAGCUGGAUGCAGAAUGAAUGAACUUCUCGAUCUCGACAUGUAGAAGAAGGUCGUUGCAACCGUGAAUACAUGGUCUUAAAUACCUUUAAGGUUGUUGCCUUUAACCAGG